AUUGAACGCUGGCGGCAUGCCUUACACAUGCAAGUCGAACGGCAGCACGGGUGCUUGCCCCUGGUGGCGAGUGGCGAACGGGUGAGUAAUACAUCGGAACAUGUCCUGUAGUGGGGGAUAGCCCGGCGAAAGCCGGAUUAAUACCGCAUACGAUCUACGGAUGAAAGCGGGGGACCUUCGGGCCUCGCGCUAUAGGGUUGGCCGAUGGCUGAUUAGCUAGUUGUGGGGUAAAGGCCUACCAAGGCGACGAUCAGUAGCUGGUCUGAGAGGACGACCAGCCACACUGGGACUGAGACACGGCCCAGACUCCUACGGGAGGCAGCAGUGGGGAAUUUUGGACAAUGGGCGAAAGCCUGAUCCAGCAAUGCCGCGUGUGUGAAGAAGGCCUUCGGGUUGUAAAGCACUUUUGUCCGGAAAGAAAUCCUUGGCCCUAAUACGGUCGGGGGAUGACGGUACCGGAAGAAUAAGCACCGGCUAACUACGUG
rnacentral:rRNA from 1 species